rnacentral:rRNA from 1 species
UGAAGAGUUUGAUCAUGGCUCAGAUUGAACGCUGGCGGCAGGCCUAACACAUGCAAGUCGAACGGUAACAGGAAGCAGCUUGCUGCUUUGCUGACGAGUGGCGGACGGGUGAGUAAUGUCUGGGAAACUGCCUGAUGGAGGGGGAUAACUACUGGAAACGGUGGCUAAUACCGCAUAACGUCGCAAGACCAAAGAGGGGGACCUUCGGGCCUCUUGCCAUCAGAUGUGCCCAGAUGGGAUUAGCUUGUUGGUGAGGUAACGGCUCACCAAGGCGACGAUCCCUAGCUGGUCUGAGAGGAUGACCAGCCACACUGGAACUGAGACACGGUCCAGACUCCUACGGGAGGCAGCAGUGGGGAAUAUUGCACAAUGGGCGCAAGCCUGAUGCAGCCAUGCCGCGUGUAUGAAGAAGGCCUUCGGGUUGUAAAGUACUUUCAGCGGGGAGGAAGGUGUUGUGGUUAAUAACCGCAGCAAUUGACGUUACCCGCAGAAGAAGCACCGGCUAACUCCGUGCCAGCAGCCGCGGUAAUACGGAGGGUGCAAGCGUUAAUCGGAAUUACUGGGCGUAAAGCGCACGCAGGCGGUCUGUCAAGUCGGAUG